rnacentral:misc_RNA from 1 species
AACGUAGGACGCAAGCGUUAUCCGGAAUUACUGGGCGUAAAGCGCGCGCAGGCGGGUUACCAAGUCAUGUGUGAAAGCUCCCGGCUAAACUGGGAGAGGACAGAUGAUACUGGUAGUCUUGAGGGGGUUAGAGGUGUGUGGAAUUCCGCGUGUAGUGGUGAAAUGCGUAGAGAUGCGGAGGAACACCAGUGGCGAAGGCGGCACACUAGGACCAACCUGACGCUGAGGCGCGAAAGCAUGGGUAGCGAACGGG